AGACCAUGAUGCGGACACAACCUAAUCAGUCCCUGAUAUCUAUGCCAUGCAUCAUAUAAGCUCUCGCCAUCAAAUUGUGUGAACCUUGUAAUCUGAUCGCGGAUCUC
rnacentral:snoRNA from 1 species